GGGGGUAGAUGGGUGCUGGUGUGCCCUCUGGUCUUCAACACCAGUAUAAGGCGUUAAGAGCGUCUUGGGUGGGUUCGAUUCCCACGUACUCCCGCCA
rnacentral:tRNA from 1 species